CGAUAAUAUUAGUAAAGAUUUAUUUAACUCCAUCAUAAUUAUUAUAUGUAAAAAUUAAUCUCUUAGCUAUUAUGUGCAAGAAACCAUCGUCUAAUUAUUUACUCUUAUUCAAUUUCCCCCUUUUUUUAGAACAAUUGUCCGAAAGUAGAAUGUGCGAAAGCAGUAGUUGAACUUCAACAGAAUCCUAAAGUGGUAUACGAAUCAAGAAAAGACUUCGACGAGUAUACAAGUCUGCUUGACACUUCAGCAGGAUAUAUUCCAGGUGUAACUCGCGGGGAUAGUGAUCAAGAGAAAUUGAACCUCAGUCUUCACAAAAAAUUAAAUUUAUCCCACAGUUACCACGGAAAAGAGGAUCCCAAUCGAUUGUCUGUGUCACCUCCCACGCCUUAUUAUGAUUAUCCAAGGUUCAAUGCAUCUUCUGAAUCUUCCAUGGAAGAGGAAAAGAAAAAACUAAAACUUUCCAAGAGUACUUGUUAGUUUUAGUGGGUAAUGUUUCGAUUUUUUUUUACUGAGAAUUAAUAUGUGAAAAGUUCUUAACGAUUUUAAUAAUGUAAUAAUUGCAAAUAAAAUAAAUAUAAAAAUGUAUGUGC